rnacentral:lncRNA from 1 species
CCCACACCACAUUCCCGCACGCCCGCCGCUGCCUUCUAGCCGUAGUAGUUGCCGCGUUCGCUCACCAUUGCCUGAGUUUUCUCGGUGCCUCCAUGACUGAAGCUCUCCACUUUUGCUGUUAUGCUUUCAAUUAGGCGAGCUCUCCUCAAACACAACUCUUAAGGCAGCCCAGCUGGUUGUUUCAUUGCACACAAACCAGGGGGUCCUGGGUUCGAAACCCAGCUGCCUCCUUUCUUUCUCUGUCUUUAUUUUUCUUUUGCCUACACACACACAUUCAGCCGCUUGGGCCAAUUCCACACUUCUGGGCUUGCACAGUGCGUCGAAUCCGGCCUGCGUAUGUUUUUUUCUCUGUUCCAUGCGAUUCUGCAUUUAUUCUUUUCCUGCAUAUUACAGAAAAAUGCCAUCAUUUCUUUUGAAGGAAAAAAAAUGAUGACAAAAAAAAUAUCCAUGCAUCCAAAUAAAACAUGUCAUAUAUUUAAAAUACUUAGAAUUUCAUGUACUUUCACAAUAUGCAACUUUCAUCCCUGUUAAAAAUAUUUAAAAUUGUUGUUUCAUUAAUUUGCAUAAAUGCCAUGUUAAAAUGCUUUAUUUUAUAACUAAAUAACCGUAGCUCCGAAUUGAAUAAACUUCACAUGUAAAUAGAGUGGAAAAUUGCAUAGAUUAACAUGAUCCACUUUAUUUUCCUGUUUAACAACAAUAAAAUAUGAUUUGGGGCAGAACAGUACCAAAUCCAAAUUAUGCACAUGGGGAUUUUCUGGAAUUGUUGUUUGUCAUUUCGGCCUUAUUUAAACUUGCCUAGAUAGAUAGUUUUACUAUGCUUCACCUCUUGUCAUGUUUAACAACAUUUAAUAUGGUUGAGUACAUAAACGAGAGCGAACUAAAUAAUUGAAUGUGGUGUUUUGUCAAUAUGCAACUCGUUGCAUAUUGAACUCCACUUAACUUGUAGUAUUGUUUGUUGCACUUUGCCAUGUCAUGCCUCAUUAAACCGGACAUGCAUCAUAUUUGAUUAUGCAUCAUGCAAUGUUUAUGUGAUGUUUGUUUACCAUGUUGUUUGCUUCUUUCCGGUUAUGCUUCUUCUCGAUAGUUCCCGUUUCGUUGCGAUCGUGAGGAUUUGUUCGACUACGCUUGGUUCGUCUAUGCCCAUUCGUCUUCUUCGUGGACUCUGUCUUCUUCCUAGCGGGAUUUCAGGCAAGAUGACUGUCACCUUGGAUCUCACUACUAUCAUUGCCAUGCUAGUUGUCUCGAUGCUAUUGCUAUGUCGCGUUACCUACCACUUGUUUAUCAAGCCUCCCAAAUUGCCAUGAUAGCCUCUAACCUUUUUUCCCCUUUCUAGAAAAUCGUUGUUUGGCUAUGUUACUGCUUGCUCAGCCCCUCUUAUAGCGUUGUUAGUUGCAGGUGAAGUUGAAGAUUGCUCCAUGUCGGUUCAUGGAUAUCUUGGGAUAUCACAAUAUCUCUUUUUUAAUUAAUGCAUCUAUACUUGGUAAAGGGUGGAAGGCUUGGCCUUAUGCCUGGUGUUUUGUUCCAUUCUUGUCGUCCUAGUUUCCAUCAUAUCGGUGUUAUGUUCCUUGAUUUUGCGUCCCUAACACGGUGAGGGGUAUGGGACCCUUUUGAUAGUUCGCUUUGAAUAAAACUCUUCCAGCAAGGUCCAACUUUGGUUUUACCAUUUGCCUAAUAAUAACUAAAACUUGCAUAGGGACCCGCCGCUACCCGAGGUCUUUUAAUCAACCCCCCGGGCCAGCGCUCCACAUGAGUGUUGGUCCAAACUAGAGCACCGUGCGGGACCGUCCCUUUGGCAACUUGGGUUAUGUUGGUACAUGUACGCUUAGCUCAUCCGGUGUACCCUGAGAACGAGAUUGCGCUACUCCUAUCAGGCUUGGUCGGUGCAUCGGGAGGUCUUGCUGGUUUUGUUUCACCAUUGUCGAAAUGUCUUGUGCACCGGGAUUCCCAGUCUAAUCGAAGGGUCCCACGAUGGAGGAUUGUCUCCGCGGAUCGUGAGCUUGUCAUGGGCUAAGUUGGGACACCCCUGCAGGGUUUAAACUUUCGAAAGUCGUGCCCGCGGUUAUGUGGCAGAUGGGAAUUUGUUAAUAUCCGGUUGUAGAGGACUUGAAGUAAACUCAAUUAAAAUACACCAACCGCGUUGCGUAACCGUGAUGGUCUCUUUUCGGGGAAGUUCGAGAGGAGAACACGGUUGGGUUAUGUUUGAACGUAAGUAGUUCAGGAUCACUUAUUGAUCAUUAUUAGUUUGCGAUUGUUCGCGUAGCUUCUCAUCUUAUUCUUGAUUGCUGAUUCCUCAUGGCUCACAGAUUACUACAACAACAGUUGCAGGUACAGGUAAUGCGAUGAUCCGACGUGAGAGCGAUGCUUGCUUGUUUUCGAGUUCUUCUGCUUCUUCUUCGAUCAGGGGUUAGGUUCCUGGUCGGCAGCCUGGGCUAGCAGGGUGGAUGUCGUUUGAGCUUCUGUUUGUGAUUCAUCCGUAGUCGGAUGUUGUUCUCAUGUAUGAUGUUUGAUGUAUUCAUGCGGCAUUUGUAUGCCUUGUAUGUAUCCCCAACUAUUAUGUAUGGUACGAUGUAAUGAUAUCCACCUUGCAAAAGCGUCUUCAAUAUGCGCUUCUAUCCUUAGUGGUACCUUCGAGUUCCUUUAGGAUAGGGUCGCAUAUUGGGCGUGACAUACUACUAGGAACCGGAUGGAGGAGUGUCUGCACUCUUAUUUUAUUUUAAAAUGUGAUAAAGCAAUCUUCAACACAUUUGAUUCUCUUCAAGGGUUCUCGCAUGUGAUAAUGGAAGUUGAUUGCAUGGAACACUCGCUUAAUUCUGGC